UUCUCUUUGUUUUGUGCUUUUAUCCUUUCUCAGUUUUCGCUCCAACCGAACCAUUUUGAUAAGAAUUGUGUUUCUAAAUGCUCACUUUUGCAUUCGUGACACAAGAAGUUUCAUUGGGCAGUAUAGUGUUCCAGUCUUCUACCAAUUUGUCAACCGAGUAAUUCUUCCUUCCACCAUACAUUUCAAAUUUUGUUUAGUACAUUUUGUUCAACUUUCAUUUGUACGCACAAAAGUUGUACUCGUAAGGUUUGGUUUCUUCCUAGCUCCAAAAAGAAGGGUGUCUUUUUAUCAACCCAAGUUUACAAUGCACAUGAACUAGUUGAAGUUUGCAAAAGCCAGCUCUUCCCUUUUCUUUUGAAACUACUGCGUCCUCCAUCUUCACCCUGCCAGAAGACAAGUUGUCAUAUGUCUCCUGAUCAGCCGUUCCUCCACCAUUUCAUGUCGCCGUACCCUCCUUAUGUGCUUGCCUUCUUCAACUGUAGCAUAUUUUGUUGUGUUUCCAAGAUUGCACCUCGACUAUCUCUUUUUAUGCAGAGGGUUUUCAUUUUGCACAACAUAAUGUCCAAACAUUACACCCCCCAACUUUAGUCAGAAGUUAUAUUUCCAUUUUCUCAACCGUUGGAUCCCACACGGUCAAUCUGGAAUUGCAGCAACAAUCUGUCACAAAAAAAAUGCCAAGCCCUGGACAAAAACAUUAGCAUAAUACGCCUAAAGCCAUCACACAUCACUACAUAGGAAUAGGUUUUAACGGCAAUAAUAAAAACAACUCUGCAUAAUCCUGCAUUCUCAUGGUCAAAGGAUAUUAUGUCCCAGCCAAAAUGAUUCAUACAAAUGAUUGACUUCGGAAUUUGGAAUUGUACUUGGCUAGGAAGUUUUUUUAAUAAGCCAAGCUAGGAAGUUUUGUUCCCCCUAUGCAUUUUUAUAUAUGCAACCUUUGCUAAGAGGAAGUGAUAUAUAUCAGUCUCUUUUAGAGAUAGAACAAACAGAAUAAGUUCACAUUUUAUCACAGGCAGAUAAUUGGUAAUAAACGAUGAACCAGAUAAACAAAUAAACAUAACAAAGUUGUUCUUAGCAGUUUAACAUCGAAAGAUCAACGACAAAAACUUGAAUAUAAAUGGCAUGACCAUUGAGGCAAAGAGCACCACAUAUACAAGAAAAGAUGAUCAGGGCACCAAGAAUGCUCUCAACUUUUAUAUACUCCCGCUUGUUCUUGAGAAAUUACCGUUUUACAAAGGUGCACUAUCGGGACCCGGGAUCCAAGGUGUACAAGAAAAGAUGACAAGGGCAGGAAGAAUGCUCUCAACUUUUAUUUACUCCCGCUUGUUCUUGAGAAAUUAUCGUUUUACAAAGGUGCAGUGUCGGGACCAAGAAUCUAAGGCAUGCAAAUCUAGCUAUAGAGAUACAAGAAGCCGCCGCGGCCAUGGUGACGCACUCGAACCACAUGGCCACGCACGGGAUGGUGAUCCUUCCAUGGCGCAAGCGCAGUUCGUGCUGGAGCGCAGCCUCCCGGCCAUCCUCCAGCCGGCCUCAAGGCCUCCGCCGCUGGCCAGUACCUACCCGCAGAGUCGAGGCCGAUGCUCCAGCUUCCUCGAUUGGACCUGAAGGACAGGGGGGCCUGGCCGCAUCCUGGAGGUUAUUGAGCCUGUUGCUGGAGAACGGCGUCGCCCGCAGCGUCCCCUGGCACGGCAGGCGCACCCAGCGUCAUUGCGCGGCUCAUGGAGCUCGACGCGCUGUUGUACGGCGCCGCGGACGAGGGGGACGGGCAGCACAUCUCGGGACCCCUCGCCGGCGCGUACUUGGAGCAGGACCGCACAUCUCAGGCCUCCUCGUCGGUAUGUACUUGGAGCAGGAGCACGUCGCCGCGGCGGCCAUGAGAGCCGGAGCGCGCAUCUCGUGGCUCACAGAGUGCGGCGGGGAUAGAGAAAGAAUGAUGAAGAAUCCGCAUGUCCGUCCCAAAUAGGUCCUUCACGUCGGGUUCACAGGCCGUGUCCGCUUGUCCGUCCGUUUCCGUCUGUCCGUUUGGGGCGUUUGAAGACCCAAACGGAAAAAAAACAGACAAAAUUUUGGUCUUUGCGUUGGAGUUCCCCUAAGGACCUGUUUUUUUUAGGGAGUCUAGGAUUUUGUUAUGCUAGUAAGCGAAGUUGAUUAGCUAAAUGCAAGUGUACCAUUUGUACUGACAAACAAAUAAACAAGUUUAGCAUAGUGAACAUGUUCUUGACUGGAUAACGUAGACAAAUAUGAAUUGCAAGAAACUGGAAAAUAAAAAAAGACUAAGUUCAACGGAAUGACUAUGAAUAAGAUAGGCAUAAAGAAUGACUAUGAAUAUGAUAGGCAUAAAGAACCAGAUAAGGAUCUUUUUUUUUGGAGGGAGUCAGGAUCUGUUAUGCUAUUGGAAAAGAUUUAUUAACCAAUUGCAAGUGUACCAUUUCGACUGACGAACCAGAUAGACAAAGCAUGGUAAACACGUUCUUGAGUGUGCAACAUAGAAAGAGAUGAAUACUAAGAAUUUGAAUAAUGAAAACAUACUAAGUUCAACGGUAUAACCAUGCAUAUAAUAGGCAUAAAAUACCAGAGAAGUACUUUCAAUGAACAGUGGAUAUAACAAGGAUCUGCAUUCUAAGGAGUUUAAGAAAAUCCAUUCUUAUUAGUUGGACAACUAACACUAAGCCUUGAAGGAUGAUGCCAAUAAACGGAGAAAGUAUGGUAAAUCUGUUCUUAACAGUUCGAUAUGAAAAAAGAUGGAUACCAAGAACUUGAAUAAGGAAAACAUACAUCAGAGCAGUGGCAGAGCUUCGGCUGGGAGAACUUAGCCCCCCACCUCCCCAGCCCAUGAAGUUUUUUCCAAACAGCUACUAGUAAAAAUGGCCCAUAUACCCAGUAAUCCAAGCGCAAAUCUCAUUUUGUUUGCCCCCCACCCAGAAGUGCAGCCCAAGCUACACCAUUGCAUCAGAUAUCUAUGGAUAGGAGAAAUGCUCUGAGGUUAUAUAUACUCCCUCUAGUUCUUGAAAAGUCAUCGUUUCAGAUUUCAAACUUUGCCUGGCUAAUUUUUCUAACAUAUAGAUUAGAUAUGUGAAACCACGUGCAUGUUAUCUAUAUUUUAAAAAUAGCUGCAGUUAAUCUUUUCAAACUUUCAAAACCUAUAUUUUGCAAUAUAAUUAGAUUGGAUAUGUGAAAACAAUACAUGUAUGCAAACAGGUUGUCUCAUUAAGUGUUUUGAAAGAACUAUAGUUUCAGAAAAUAUAUAAUGAAAAUAAGAAGUCAAAGUUGUUGAACCGUUAUGGGCUGUCUGGGCCAUCUCACUUAAGCCCACAGGGCCCAGCCCUUGAGAAGACCUAGAAGGUGGAGCUCCCAGUCCCUCCCGUGAGAGUCAGCAGCCACAACACCACACGGGAGCAACCAGGAAAAGCUUGUCCCAUCGCGAGGUAGUCCUUCCCCCUUCCCGUUUCUACAUGGUAUCAGAGGCCAGCGACAGCAGGGCCUGAGGAGACGGCGGCGGCGGCCGGCGCGGCGGCGGCGGAUCUGGGAGGCGCGGCAUGGCUGCGCAAGAGAUGCGGCUCGUUGGCUGCGCGGCGGGAAGAAGGAGAGGUGGAGCUGCUGCGCGGCAGAGGAAGGAGGAGGCAGCUGAGGAGCUGCUUGGUCUCCUCGAGAGUGGAGCUUUUCCAAAGAUCUUGUACCUCUUGCUGCGGCUGCUGCUUGCUCCUCAGUGUGACGCGCUGUGGUGCUGCGGGAGGAGAAGAGGAGAACGGUAGUGGAGAAGGGCAGCUCCUUGUUGUACUGCUGUGUGAGCUGGAGAACUGCUGCGGGGGUUGGCUGCUGUUGGAGGCCAAGAUCCUCUGAAACUGCUGCUGUUUGCAGAGGAAGGAGGAAGAGAACUGCUGCUGUUUGAAGGAGGAAGAGAACUGCUGCUGGAGGAAGCGGCUGUGGUUGCUGCUUGCACUUGGGUGCUGCUGCUAGCCAGGGGGUGUAAAGGGACCAACUGUGCAGCUGUAGGGCUGUGCUGCUGAGGGCUGCUGUUGCUGGUUACCGGAUCGGAGAUGGCUGAACCAAAUGCGCUUGCUGCGGCUUUUGAGAAGCUCGCUAAGAUCCUCGCAGAGUCCAACUCUGGGGCCAUCGUUCCUCGACACGAAGUGGCUCAGAAGCUCGAAAUGUCACCCUUGGACAUAAAGCUGGAGAGGGCCACAAAUUACUUGAGUUGGUCCAGGAGGGCAUUGCUGGCUGUAGAACAGAAGGAACUUGAUGGGCACUUAUUGGGUACGAUUGAUCCAGGAGACAAGAAUACCACGGAGGGAAAAAGGUGAAAGGUCAUAAACUCUAUGCUCGUUGGCUGGUUGUUGAACUCAGUGGUGCCCUCAAUUGGACGCACUGUGGAGGGACUAUCCACGUCCGCUGAGAUAUGGAAGACCCUCUCCAUCCAAUACUCAGGCAAGGGUAAUUUCAUGCUAAUCGCUCAGAUUGAGGGGAAGAUCAGUCGGUUGCGCCAAGGUGACGACAUGUCAGUGAUGGCCUAUGUGGCAGAGCUGCAGGCUUUGUGGGCAGAGCAAGAUAAUUGUGAUCCUUUGGAACUAUAUGAUGCAGCUUGUAUCGAGUCAGGGCGCAAGUGGAUUGCACGCAGGCGUGUGCUGAAACUGUUGGAAGGGCUCAGAGGUUGCUUUCAUGAAAGGGGGGCAUCCUUGUUGCACCAACCUCUCCUGCCAACUAUUGAGGAGACCAAUGCAGCAAUGUCUCAAGAGGAGGUGAGGCUAUCUCUUGAGCAUGCAGACGUGAAGGUUGUGCCGGCUUUGACAUUUGCAGUCACUGAGCGCAUGGAGUGGAAAGAUCCUAACAAAUGUCAUAUCUGUAGGGAGGUAGGUCCAACUCGUGGCAGAGGCAGGGGAUACAACAGAGGAGGAACUGGCAGAGGCAGGCAGGCUAGAGGCAGAGGUGUAUACAUAGGGACCUCAGGGGGUCAACCUUCUUGGGGCAGAGGUGGCCACUCAGGAAACCCAGGGGGGCAGAGUGCACAUAUGGUAGUUGAAGGGGACACUGUGAAAUCAAAGGGCGAGGCAGUUGACGAAUCUACCUAUGGAGAAUUUGCUCAUUGGGCCUCCACUGAUGAAGGUAAUCCGACAAAGGCAUCUCUUACUCCUAAUAUGGAUGCUCCUGAGUGGGUCCUAGACUCUGGAGCAUCUAAGCAUGUUGCGGGUAAUUCCUGUGUGUUUUGAGUCUUACAAUAAGCAUCCUCCUACUCACAAGGGCACUAUUCAAACUGUCGAUGGUACUGUUAGGAAGUAUUAGUAUUAGUCUAGGAAUCCUUAUUAGUCUAUGUUUACUUUCCUUGCACCUCAAGUCAUGUAUAAUAUAUAUAUGCCCCUUGGGCCUUCAAUAAAGAUAAGUUGCUUUCCUAACAUGGUAUUAGAGCUUAGGGUUUUUUUUUUCGGGCGCCGCAAUUCGCCCUCCCGAUCCAAUCUCGCGCGUCGCCGCUGCUUUUCUUGCGUGGUCGCCGCUGCUUUCUCAGGGUGCAGCCAUCUGGUCAAGCCCUCAUGCGGAUCCGCUCGCAGGAUGACCCAGCAACCCGGUUUCCUCUGGUUCGAGUCGUUCUCCGCCUCCAGCCGUCGUCGCUGCCGCCUCCAGCCGCCGCCGCCUCAUCCCGCUGGAUCUCGCGCCCCCAGCCGCCGCCAGAUCCCGCCGCCUCCCUCCUUAUUUCAUGCCCGCAUGGCGGCAUGGAUCCAGAUCGACCCGGGCAUCCAGGUCAACGCCCGCCGCCCCGUUCAGGCUUCAUCAACCAGCCCGUGCAUCUACUACUGCAUCUACUACUGUGGCUCUGUUGGAUCGAUGUGCCGCUCGGCUUCUACAUGCUCGCUGUUGGAGCCACGGGCCGCCUCCUGGGACUCUCGACAGUCGUCCGUGUUCAUCCCUUCCAGAUCGACCCGCCUUCAUCUAUGAGGUCGCCACCCUUCAUGCGGCCGUCGGGAUGCUGCCUGCCUCGAGCAAGGACGUGGCGCCCUCCUGCAGCUGUUGCCGUUCCGCCUCCAGUUGCGUCCCGAGCGUAUGUCUCUUCCUCGUGGACGUGCACGAGUCUCUUCCCGGAGCAGCUGGUAGCGUGCUUGCUGCUCUGCGUGCUCCUCUGUCUGCUUCCGCAUGCACGCCAUGCUGUCCGCUGGUGCUAGCUACCACUUGCUACAACGUGGUGUACGCUACCUGUUGCUAGCUGCUUACGUGUUGCUACUGCUAGCUACUUCCUGCUGCUACUACUCUGUUGUUUUGGCCUCUCUGUCAUUUUCCGCUGCGUCCACCAAAUUCGUCGAUGUUUUGUGUUAUCACGUCAUGCGAGUCCACCAUACCUUUGUCCGUCGGCCUUUUCUUUGGUCCUGAUCCUUUCUAUGCAACUUUUGUGGCCUAUUUGCCCUUGUUGUUUUCUAUAGGAUUUCCUGGACUUCUUUUGCAUUGUCAAUCUAUGUUCAUCGUGCCUUAACUGCCGAGCUUCUUUUGCCGUCGGUUGUCGUGGACUAUGAUUUUCCACGCAAUGCUUUAUUCUCUUGAUGUGCCAUCUUCUUUUGACAACCCAUCUUCUCUUGAUACUUAUCUUGUAUCUUCAAGUGAUGCGGUGUCUACCUCUGAUGUGCCAUCUCUCCGUUAUCUCCUUCGGCGACUCGACAAUUUUUGAAGACUCUUCAUGCUAUGACGACACUCUCAAGACGCGGAUUUGGAUUAUCAUUUUUUUUUAGUAUUACACUUCUUCAAAUGCAAUGCUAUUGCAUACGCUUUGCAUUUGAGGGGGGGGGGGGGUUAGGAAGUAUUAGUAUUAGUCUAGGAGUCCUUAUUAGUCUAUGUUUACUUUCCUUGCACCUCAAGUCAUGUGUAAUAUAUAUAUGCCCCUUGGGCCUUCAAUAAAGAUAAGUUGCUUUCCUAACAGGUACAAAUCAGCCUGUCAUAGGGGUUGGCACAGUCAAGUGCACUUCAACUAUCUCGCUAUCGUCAGUUUUACAUGUGCCAGCUUUUCCUGUCAAUUUGGUCUCUUUCAGUGCUCUCAUUGAUCAAAUAGACUGUCGUGUGAUCCUUGACAAGUUCGGUUGCUUGAUUCAGGAGCGCCAGACGAGCCAGACGGUUGGGACUGGCACCAGGUGUAAGGAGCUCUGGUACAUGGACCAGGAGGUGCAGCCGGACUUGAUGUAUGCUGCGACCAUGGAGGACAAGGAGAAGCAGGCGAUGAUCCAUCACUGCAGGAUGGGGCACGUAUCUUUUGAUAAGAUGAGUAGAAUAUUUCCGGAUGUUAUGUGUGGAAUAGGCAAGGGCAAGUUGACAUGUGAUGUUUGCGAAUAUGCAAAACACACACGAGCCUCAUAUGUGAGUAAGGGGCUUAGGAGCAUAUCUCCCUUUAUGCUUAUUCAUUCGGAUGUAUGGACUAGCCCAGUAGUGUCAAUGAAUGGAAAGAAGUAUUUUGUUACCUUCAUCGACUGCUAUUCUCGUAUGACUUGGAUUUACUUGAUGCGUCACAAAGAUGAGGUGUUUAGUUGUUUUCAGAACUUCCAUGCUCUUGUAAAGAACCAGUUUCAGGUGCAGGUCAAGGUGCUUAGGACUGACAAUGGCACAGAGUAUGUCAACAACAAUUUUUAGGGCUUUCAUGGCUGGCCAAGGGAUUCUUCAUCAAACUUCAUGUCCGGACACCCCCCCUCAGAAUGGAGUGGCCGAAAGGAAGAAUCGUCAUAUUCUUGAGGUUGCUCGGUCGUUGAUGUUUACCAUGAAUGUGCCUAAGUUCUUGUGGGAUGAAGCAGUUAUGGCAGCUACAUACCUGAUCAACCGUACACCUUCCAGGAUACUAGGCACGAAAUCUCCCUCUGAGUUGCUCGUUGGAGAUAACAAGAUUGUUGUCCCCCCAAAGCUGUUUUGGCAGUACCUGUUUUGUUCGUGAUCACCGACCAUCUGUUGGCAAACUUGAUCCUCGAGCAGUGAAGUGUAUCUUUCUGGGAUACUCUUCUAGUCAGCAGGGGUAUAAAUGUUGGUGUCCCUCUGAAAAAUGCAGGUUUGUGAGUAUGGAUGUUACCUUCAGGGAGUCUGAGCCAUUCUAUGGCGAGCCGACUGAUCUCAGUCUGCUGUUUGCAGAGCUUGACCACCUACACCCCAUGCAUGAUGGACAAGAGGGGGAGAAGGAGGUGUCCCAUACUCACAGUGAUUCUGUCGGCAUUAACACUGAUAAUGAUGUGCAGGUUCGGGUCCAACCAACAAUGGGUACAAUUUCGGUUAGUACUCUCACUAAUGAUGAUGUGCAGGUUCAUGUCGAACCAAGUGUUGGUACACUUAAGAUUGGUGCUCUCCAGGUUCCUGUUCGAGAUCGAUGGCAGACGAAUACCCUAGUGUACUCUCGACGGCCACCACAAGUGCAGGGGGAGCAGCAAGGCAAUGAGGCAAGAGUACAUGGGGAACAGCAAGGCAGUGAGGCAACAGUACAUGGGGAGCAGCAAGACAGUGGGGCAAGCUCAUCUGACACGGUGGAGCUGCCCAUUGUGUUGCGAAAGGCUACACGUGAAGCAGCAAGGGUGAAGUAGCAAGGAAGGCUCUACCAAAGGAUGAUGCUUGUGAUUGACCUUGAUAUUGGCAAUUUUGUGUCUUAUAAGGAUUUGUCACCUUCAUACAAGGCGUUUGUUGCAUCCCUUCAAACUGUGUCAAUCCCAAAGGAUUGGAAGGCUGCAAAGCAAGAUCCGAAGUGGCGCAAAGCGAUGAUAGAAGAGUUGGAAGCACUGAGGAAAAACAAGACAUGGGUGCUAACCACAUUGCCGGCAGAAAAGAAAGCAGUGAGUUGUAAGUGGAUCUAUACAGUGAAGCAGAAUCCUGAGGGUAAGGUGGAACGGUAUAAGGCCAGAUUGGUCGCCAGAGGAUAUAGUCAAACUAAUGGAAUUGAUUAUGAUGAGACAUUUGGCCCGUGGCAAAGAUGAACACGGUUAGGAUAUUGGUCUCUUGUGCUGCAAACUUUGGGUGGAAGUUGCAUCAAUUAGAUGUCAAGAAUGCCUUCUUACAUGGUGAGUUGCAGGAAGAAGUGUACAUGGAGAUACCACCAGGUUUUGGUACUUCAGAGACCACGGGGAAGGUAUGCAGGCUGAAGAAAUCCUUGUAUGGAUUGAAGCAAUCACCGCGGGCAUGGUUUGAUAGGUUCAGACGUGCUAUCUGUGGUAUGGGGUAUGGUCAGUGUAACGAUGACCACACGAUGUUCUACAGACACUCUGAUCGGAAAACCACCAUUCUUGUUGUUUAUGUAGAUGACAUUAUUAUCACGGGAGAUGAUAAUGAGGAAAUAGAGAGAUUAAAGGGUUGUCUGAGCAAGGAGUUUGAGGUAAAGGAUCUAGGCAACCUAAAAUAUUUCCUUGGCAUUGAAGUGGCUCGGACAGAGAAGGGAAUCUCUAUGUGCCAAUGAAAACAUACCUUGGAUCUCUUGAGUGACAUGGGCAUGAUGGGAUGUCGUGUUGCCCCUACUCCGAUUGAACAAAAUCAUCAAGUGACAGCACAAUCAGGAGAUCUAGUGAAUAAGGAAAACUAUCAGAAAUUGGUUGGAGAUUAUUGUACUUGUGUCAUACCAGGCCUGACAAUAUGUAUGUUGUGGGGGUGGUAAGCAGAUACAUGCAUGAACCAAGGAGUGGGCACCUUGAUAUCGUGCACAGAAUCCUGAGAUACUUAAAGGGGACUCCGGGUAAAGGGUUGUGGUUUGGGAAGAGUGGACACCUUGAGGUGGAUGGCUAUAGUGACUCUGAUUAGGCUAGUUGUCAAGAUGAUAGAAGAUCAACUUCUGGCUACUGUGUGUUUGUGGGAGGAAAUUUGGUGUCAUGGAGAAGCAAGAAACAACCUGUUGUAUCUAGAUCAACGGCAGAAGCUGAGUAUAGAGCUUUAUCUCAAGGAUUGUGUGAGAUGCUCUGGGUGAAGCACGUACUGAGCGAGUUGAAACUUCUAAGGAAGGGGCCCUUGAAGGUGUGGUGUGACAAUCAGUCCGCUAUAGCCAUUGCUAAUAAUCCAGUUCAACAUGACACGACAAAACAUGUGGAAAUCGAUCACUUCUUCAUUAAGGAGAAGCUUGAUGCUGGGAUCAUCAGUCUUACUCAUGUCAGCUCUGGGCAGCAGUUUGCACAUUGCUUGACAAAGGGACUGGGAACAAACGACUGUAACUUGGCAUGUGACAAGAUGGGAAUGCUAGAUAUCUACCACCCAUCUUGAGAGGGAGUGUUGAACCGUUAUGGGCUGUCUAGCCCAUCUCACUUAAGCCCACAGGGGCCAGCAUUUGAGAAGACCUAGAAGGUGGAGCUCCCAGUCCCUCCCGUGAGAGUCAGCCGCCACAGCAGCCACAACACCACACGGGAGCAACCAGGAAAAGCUUGACCCAUCGCGAGGUAGUCCUUCCCCCUUCCCGUUUCUACAAAAGUUGUAUUUGGAGACUUUUCAAGAACUGGAGGGAGUAUAUUCGGUUAUCAUUAUUGAGAAUAAGGUCUUAAUCCAAUAACAUGUUUUAUCAACAUAUAAGUAAAUCUGUGAAAUCAUUACAUGAUCCGGCUAAGUAUCAAGGAAAAACUAUGUUCUUUUCAGGUAAAUAACUAAUAUUUAAGGUUGAAAGAUAAAUGAUGAACUAGACAAAUAAAUAAAGCCAUAUAAAAUCUGCUAUUAACAAUUCAACAUACCGAAAAAGGCUUCAGCCCCGCUUUAUAUAUGAAGCGAAGAUCACCAAUCAUACCGAUACAAACGCACGCCACCACAACACAUACACACACACCCAAGGCAUGAUACACAAACGCUGAGUGCAGCAGCAGCACCCCAAUCUACGAGGAGAUGAAGCCGCAUACAAUGAUUUGUGGACUCCAAGACGGCGCCUUCAGGAAGGAUAUGACACCGGAGCGCCACCACCGCCCGAUCCAAGGAUCAGAGUUUCCCCUGAAGCAACAUGAUGGACUCCAAGACGGCGCCUUCAAGAAGGAAACGAGCUUCGCCGCAGCCGGACUGUCCAAAAAAAGAACAGGUUUUCACCCCGACCAACACUCACCGCCACUGAACGCCACACCCCAGCUGCCGCGCCGCCCACACUGCCAUGUCCACCGGGCAACACCAAGCCAUGGGGUCUACCCAAAUGCAUCGCGCUACCACCACCAGGGCCGCCGCCCCGGCAUCCUAGACCUAGGCACCACCUGACCCGAGACCCGCCACAACCCUAACCGAAGAGACGAGCGGAAAGGCCCCGCCUUUCGCACCCCUGGAUGGCCCCAAGUGCCGAGACCCAAUAGGCCGGUAGGAACUAGCCUCCAUCGCCCCAUCCUGCAGCCCCGAGCACAAGACGAGCUCGAUCCUGCCGCCGGGCGCGAGACGAGCGAUGGGCCGCAGCUGGGAAAGGGCCAACCCUUGGACUGAAGAAUUGUCCGGACGACGAGGAGAUGGGGCGAAGGUCGAAACGGUCUGACCGCAGACGAGCCGACGCCGGAGUAAAGCCGGCCGUCGCCGCGGGCAGUGUCGUCGAGUCACCGUGUAGCGGCCACGCCUCCAGGAGGCCACCGCCAUGUGUCGGGCCUCCGCGUGCCGCCGCCCACGGCCGGAGCAACAGCCACGCCAAGCCAUUGCCCCGCCCACGCCGCCCACCCGAAUCCCAGCGCCAAAUCCAAGACGAACCCAUCGGAAAAUGCAAGAUCCGCCCAGCACGUACCGUCGCCACCACCACCAAGCCGCCGAGGCGCCGGUCACCUCACUGCCAACACCGCCGCCCGCGAACGCAAGACCGAGGCACCCUCAGCCCGUGCCGCCCGUUGGCCGCCUGCCAGGGAGAUCAUCCGAGCCAGAUCUGGGCCGGGGACGACCACCGCCGCCACCACGCACAGGCAUGCCCAGCCACACCCUGACGCAUAACCGCCCACGCCGCCACACCUGGACGCCCCCGACCGGUUGCCUCGGUCACCGACGCGCCACGUCACCCUGCAGAGCCGUGCGCCUCCGCUCGAUGCAGCUGUGCCGCGCCAACCCACCGCAAGGAAGGGGAAAGAGGCCCCGCCCCCACCGACGCCGGCCGGGCUUUGCCUAGCGGCACGUGCCGACGGCGGCGAGGGAGGAAGAGGGGAGGGGGAGUAGGGGCUGGAGGCGCCAGGGUUCGCCUCCCCGCUCGCGGGAGCGGGCGAGACGAGAACGGGAGAGACCCAUUAGCCAUUUUUCUCCUACUGCCACACAGUCACAAUUCAACAUAGAAAAGAUGAAUAACAAGAAUUUGAACAAUGGACAGGUUUUCAAUGGUAUGAUCAAGGAUACGAUAGGCACAAAGCACAACAAGUACAAUCAAUGAGCAGUCAAUAUAAGGACACGGUAUUUUAUUCUUAGGCAAUCUCAGAAUUUGUAUUGCUAGUGUGCAGGAUUGACUAAUCAAAUGCAAGUGUAUCAUGUUUUUUCUUUCUGUUUUAUGCAUAUCAGCUCAGAUAAGACAACAUUGCCGCUUAAAUAAAUAGAGCACCACAAGUACAUCAAAUAGAUUAAAUGAAAGGAGUACAAAGGAUGCUCUCAGGUUAUAUAAUCCCUUCUUCUGGUUCUUAAGAAGUCACCGAUACAGAAAUAGGUGCAGUAAAUUUCUGAAACUUUGAGUAUCUUAAAUUUUAAAUUCCAACUCAAUUUUUUAAAUAUAUGUAUGCACACGUCAAAACCAUAUGUGCAGGAAAGAAUGCUCUCAGGUUAUAUAGUCCCUUCUUUUGGUUCUUAAAAAGUCAUCAAUAUAGAAAUAGGUGCAGUAAAUUUCUGAAACUUUGAGUAGCUAAAAUUUUAAAUUCAAACUCAUACUUUUAAAAUAUAUGUAGAUUGGAUACAUCAAAACCAUAUGUGCAGGUCUCAUAAAGUAUUUUCAAAAAAGUAUAUUUCGAGAGAGCUCUAUGAAAAUAUACGAAGAAGAAAUAUCUAGAGAAAAAUAAGGAGUUAAAAGUUGUAUUUUGAAGACUUCUCAAGAACCGGAGGGAGUAUAUUCGGUUAUCAUCAUUGAGCAUAAGGUCUAAUCUAAUAAAAUGUUCUAUCAACCUAUACGUAAAUAUCUGAAAUCAUUACAUGAUCCGGCUAAGUAUCAAGGAAAAACUAUUUUCUUUUCAGUAAAAUAACCGAUGACCUAUAUAAAUCAAUAAAGCAAAGGAAAUAUGUUAUUAACAAUUUAACAUAGAUAACACAGAAUAGAUGAAUAACAAGAACUUUGACAAAGGACCUGCAUAUGGUGUUCAUUGACUUGGAGAAGGCCUAUGAUAAGAUAACGCGUAAUGUUAUGUGGUGGGCCUCAAAGAAACACAAAGUCCCAGCAAAGUACAUUACCCUCAUCAAGGACAUGUACAAUAAUGUCGUGACAAGUGUUCGAACAAGUGAUGGCGACACUGAUGACCUCCCGACUAAGAUAGGACUGCAUUAGGGUCAGCUUUGAGCCAUUAUCUUUUUGCCUUGGUGAUGGAUGAGGUCACAAGGGAUAUACAAGGAGAUAUCCCAUGGUGUAUGCUCUUUGCGGACGACGUGGUGCUAGUCGAUGAUAAUCGCACGGGGGUCAACGGGAAGUUGGAGUUAUGGAGGCAAACCUUGGAAUCGAAAGAUUUUAGACUUAGUAGGACUAAAACUGAGUACAUGAGGUGCGCUUUCAGUACUACUAGGCACGAGGAGGAGGAAGAUGUUAGCCUUGAUGGGUAGGUAGUGCCUCAGAAGGACACCUUUUGAUAUUUAGGGUCAAUGUUGCAGAAGGAUGGGGAUAUCGAUGAAGAUGUGACCCAUUGAAUUAAAGCCAGAUGGGUGAAGUGGCGCCAAGCUUCUGGCAUUCUCUGUGACAAUAGAGUGCCACAAAAGCUAAAAGGCAAGUUCUAUAGGACGGCGGUUCAACCCGCAAUGUUGUAUGGCGCUUAGUGUUGGGUGACUAAAAGGCGACAUGUUGCAACAAUUAGGUGUGGCGGAGAUGUGCAUGUUGAUAUGGAUGUGUGACCACACAAGGAAGGACCGAAUCCGGAAUGAUGAUAUACGAGAUAGAGUUGGGAUAGGGGACGAUCUAAGAGAAGCUUGUCCAACAUAUGCAACGUAGGCCUCCAAAAGCCCCAGUGCAUAGCGAACGGCUAAAGCGUGUUGAUAAUGUCAAAAGAGGUCGAGGUAGACCAAACUUGACAUCGGAAGCGUCCGUAAAGAGAGAUCUGUAGGAUUGGAGCAUCACCAAAGAACUAGCCAUGGACAGGGGUGCGUGGAGGUGUGCUAUCCAUGUGCCAGAACCAUGAGUUGGUCGCGAGAUCUUAUGGGUUUCACCUCUAGCCUACCCCAACUUGUUUGGGACUAAAGGCUUGGUUGUCAUUGUUGUUGUACGAUUGUGGAGACGAUAGGCACAAAGCAGAGCAAGUACAAUCAAUGAGCAGUCAAUAUAACGACACAUUAUUAUUCUAGGUAAGCUCAGAACUUGCAUUGCUAGUGUGCAGGAUUGAUUAACCAAAUGCAAUUGUACCAUGUUUUUUUCUGGUUUAUUCAUAUUAGUUCAGAUAAGAUAGCAUUGCCGCUUAAAUAAAUAGAGCACCUCAAGUACAUUAUUAAAUGAAAGGAGUAGAAAGCAUGCUCUCAGGUUAUAUACGCCCUUCUUCUAGUUCUUGAAAAGUAAUCAAUAUAGAAAUGUGUGCAGUAAAUUUCUCAAACUUUGAGUGGAUACAAUUUUAAAUUCAAACUCAAAUUUUAAUUAUAUGUAGAUUGGAUACAUGAAAACCAUAUGUGUAGGUUGUCUCAUAAAGUAUUUUCAAACAAGUGUUAAUUUUCAAAGAGUUUACGAAAAUAUACAGCGAAAAAUAAGUAGUCAAAGUUGUAUAUUGAAGGCUUUCCAAGAACCGGAAGGGGUAUAUUCGGUUAUCAUUGAGCAUAAGAUCUAAUCUAACAACAUGUUCUAUCAGCAUAUAAGUAAAUAUCUGGAAUUAUUACAUGAUCCAGCUAAGUUUCAAGGAAAAACUAUGUUCUUUUCAGUAAAAUAACUGAUAUUUAAGGUUGGAAGAUAAAUGAUUAACAAAAUAAAUGACUAAAGCAUUGAAAAACUGUUAUUAACUAUUAAGGUAAAGAUGAAUAACAAUAAUUUGAACAUAGAACAGACUAAUGCAAUUGUAUGAUUAUGGAUAUGAUAGACACAAAGCACAACAAGUACAAUCAAUGAGCAGACGAUAUAAGGACACGCUAGUGUUUUAGUUAAUCUCAGAAUUUGUAUUGCUAGUGUGCAGGAUUGAUUAACCAAAUGCAAGUGUACCAUGCUUUUUUUUCCCUCUGUUUUAUGCAUAUCAGUUCAGAUAAGAUAGCAUCGACGCUUAAAUAAAUAUAACACCACAAGUGCACCAAAUAGAUUAAAUGAAAGGAGUAGAUAGAAUGCUCUCAGGUUAUAUACUCCCUUAUGGUUCUUGAAAAGUCAUCAACAUAGAAAUAUGUGCAGUUAAUUCCUCAAACUUUGAGUAGCUAAAAUUUUAAAUUCAAACUCAUUCUUUAAUAUAUAUAGAUUUGAUACAUGAGAACCAUAUGUGUAGGUUGCCUCAUAAAGUAUUUUCACAAAAGUAUAAUUUCAAAGAGCUUUAUGAAAAUAUAUAAAGAAAAAAUAUCUAGCCAAAAAUAAGCAACCAAAGUUGUAUUUUGAAGACUUUUCAAGAACCCGAGGGAGUAAAUUCGGUUAUCAUCAUUGAGCAUAAGGUCUAACCUAAUAACAUGUUCUACCAGCAUAUAAAAUAUCUGAAAUCAUUACAUGAAUCUGGCUAUGUAACAAGGAUAAAAAAAUCUUUUCGGUAAAAUAACUAAUAUAUAAGUUUGGAAGAUAAACAAUGAACUAGAUAAUCCAAAUAAAGCAAAGUGUAUCUAUCAUUAACAAUUUAACGUAGAAAAGAUGCAUAACAAGAACUUGAAUAAUUAAAAACAGACAAAAUUCAACGGCAUGACAAUGAAUACAAUGGGCAUAAAGCCCAAGUACUACCGAUGAACAGUUGACAUAAGGAUCUGUGUAUGUGUGUGUGUGUUUAGGGAGUCUAAGAAUUUGUUAUGUUAGUGGUCAAGAUUGAUUAACUAAAUGCAAGUGUAUCAUUCCUACCAAUGAACCAGGUAAACAAGUAAAAGAUAAUAAACAUGUUCUCGACUGUUAAAACAUAGAAAGGGAUGAAAAUAACGGAAACAGACUAAGUUCAAUGGUAUGACUAUGAAUAUGUAGAAAGCACCAGAAGUAUUAUCAAUGAACAGGGGAUAUAAAAAGGAUCUUUUUUUUUAUUUUUUGAGGGAGUCUAAAGAUCUGUUAUGCAAGUGACAUUUUUUAAACUAACUGCAAGUGGACAAAAUUGAUUAACUUUGCAAGUGUAACAUGCUUUACUGUUAUAUUCAUAUAUCAGGUUCAGAUAUUUCGCACUAAAUGCAAGUGUAUCCUUUCUACCAACGAAACAGAUAAACAAGUUUAGCAUAUUAUAAACGUGUUCUUGACGGUUUAUAACAUAGAAACAGAUGAAUAGUAAAAACUUAAAUAAUGAAAACAGACACAAUUUCAAUGGUAUGACUAUGAAUACGUAUAAAGCACCAGAAGUAUUAUCAAUGAACAGGUGAUAUAAAAAGGAUCUGUAUUUUUUUUCAUUUUCCUUUUUUGAGGGAGUCUAAGGAUCUGUUAUGCAAGUGACAUUUUUUAAACUAACUGCAAUUGGGCAAAAUUGAUUAACUUGCAAGUGUAACAUGUUUUACUGUUAUAUGCAUAUAUCAGGUUCAGAUAUUUGGCACUAAAUGCAAGUGUAUCCUUUCUACCAACGAAACAGAUAAACAAGUUUAGCAUAUUAUAAACGUGUUUUUGACGGUUUAACAUAGAAAAAGAUGAAUAGUAGGAACUUAACUAAUGAAAACAGAGAAAGUUCAAUGGUAUGACUAUGAAUACCUAUAAAGCACCAGAAGUAUUAUCAAUGAACAGGGGAUACCAAAAGGAUCUAUAUUUUUUUUCCAUUUUCGUUUUCUGAGGGAAUCUAAGGAUCUGUUAUGCAAGUGAAAAAUUUUAAACUAACUGCAAGUGGGCAAAAUUGAUUGACUUUGCAAGUGUAACAUGCUUUACUGUUAUAUGCAUAAAUCAGGUUCAGAUAUUUGGCACUAAAUGCAAGUGUAUCCUUUCUACCAACGAAACAGAUAAACAAGUUUAGCAUAGUAUAAACGUGUUCUUGACGGUUUAUAACAUAGAAAAAGAUGAAUAGUAAAAACAAUAAUGAAAACAGACUAAAUUCAGUGGUACGACUAUGAAUACGUACGUAUAAAGCACCAGAAGUAUUAUCAGUGAACAGGGGAUAUAAAAAGGAUCUAUAUUUUUUUUUUUCAUUUUCGUUUUUUGAGGGAGUCUAAGGAUCUGUUAUGCAAAUGUAACAUUUUUUAAACUAAUUGCAAGAGGGCAAGAUUGAAUUGAAUAACUAAUUGCAAGUCUAACAAGUUUUACUGUUAUAUGCAUAUGUCAGGUUCAGAUAUUUGGCGAUGAAAUAAAUACUAGAGCAUCAUGCCUAACCGAUAGUAAAAUGAGGGAAGUCACAGGGUUACCGAGGCAGGAGAGGGGCUUUACUUACGCGGCGGCGGUAGGAAGAGAAUGUAGAGAGAAGGUCCCAGCAGCACCCCGACACUGAGAGCAUAUUGAUGAGCCCCCAGUAUCCCAUUUGGGGGCCGUGGACGAGAACUUGCAGGCCAGACAGUAGAUUUAGCAGAACAAGGGCAGCGUAGAAAGCUAAGAGGGGGAUGGGGGGCUUCGCAAGGAAGAGAAAGCACAUGUCCAAGAGGCCACCCAAGACCCCCAGGACGUUGGAAAUCUCCCACAAGAGGGUGGUCGGGACGCUGGAUAUGAGCGCGAAGGCGCUCGAGAGGAGGUUAAAUACCUGGAAUCCCGAGUACAGCCGCCGGAAAAUCCUUGUGAUCCUGAUCCUCGAACGGGCCAUGGCUGCCUCCCGCCCACCGAGAGGAGGAAGACGGUCGUGCUGCCUUCCGCCCGCCGAGAGAAGGAAGACGGUCGUGCUGCCUUCCGUCCGACGAGACGAUCGUGCAGGGCAGGAAGGGGGCGUGGGGAUUGUAGGGAGAUUAGGGCAAGGGGGGCGAAGAUGAGCUCGAGAGAUUAGGGCAAGGGGGGCGAAGAUAAGAGAGAUUAGGGCCGGCGAUGCAGGAGCCGACGGUAUAAUUAUGAUUCUCAUCUCACCGAGAUCGACUCGAACUCGGAUUCGUAGGUCGGUGAUCGCCGGAAUCUUGUAUGUAAGUUUUCGAAUUAAUUCGAAAUCCGGUGACUCGUACCUGGGAUAAUAAGCUGGCUAAAGGCUAGCGCCGCCGCAGCUGCUGCGCCUCCCCGCCGGCUCCUCCGGCAUAUCCUCCGGCGCCGCCGAAUCUCGCCCCGCGGCCGCGGCCAUGCCACCGCAGCUGCUGCGCCUCCCCGCCGGCUCCUCUGGCAUAUUCUCCUCGGACGCCGAAUAUCCCCGCGAUGCAGCCGGCCCUCUCGUUGAGCGCCGCCUGCGGGCUCCUGCUCCUGGAGUGGAGUCUAUGGCGACUGUCAGGAGCCAAGUGCGGCGCUGUCUGAUUUUAACUGAAUAUAUACUUCAGUGAGAGAAAG
rnacentral:lncRNA from 1 species